CCUACGGGUGGCAGCAGUGGGGAAUAUUGGGCAAUGGAGGCAACUCUGACCCAGCAAUGCCGCGUGAAUGAAGAAGGUCUUCGGAUUGUAAAGUUCUUUAGUCAGGGACGAAUAAAAUGACGGUACCUGAAGAAUAAGCCCCGGCUAACUACGUGCCAGCAGCCGCGGUAAUACGUAGGGAGCAAGCGUUAUUCGGAAUGACUGGGGGUAAAGGGUGCGUAGGCGGGGAUACAAGUUAGAAGUGGAAUACCCAGGGCUUAACCCGGGUGCUGCAUUUAAAACUGUAAUACUUGAGUGCUGGAGAGGUUAGUGGAAUUCCUGGUGUAGCGGUGGAAUGCGUAGAUAUUAGGAGGAACACCAGAGGCGAAGGCGGCUAGCUGGACAGCAACUGACGCUGAGGCACGAAAGUGUGGGGAGCAAACAGGAUUAGAUACCCGAGUAGUC
rnacentral:rRNA from 1 species